AUUGAACGCUGGCGGCAUGCCUUACACAUGCAAGUCGAACGGCAGCACGGGUGCUUGCACCUGGUGGCGAGUGGCGAACGGGUGAGUAAUACAUCGGAACGUACCUUAUCGUGGGGGAUAACGCAGCGAAAGCUGUGCUAAUACCGCAUACGCCCUGAGGGGGAAAGCGGGGGAUCGAAAGACCUCGCGCGAUUAGAGCGGCCGACGCCUGAUUAGCUUGUUGGUGGGGUAAAAGCCCACCAUGGCGACGAUCAGUAGCUGGUCUGAGAGGACGAACAGCCACACUGGGACUGAGACACGGCCAAGACUCCUACGGGAGGCAGCAGUGGGGAAUUGUGGACAAUGGGGGCAACCCUGAUCCAGCAAUGCCGCGUGAGUGAAGAAGGCCUUCGGGUUGUAAAGCUCUUUUGUCAGGGAAGAAACACCGGCUCUAACACAGUCCGGGAAUGACGGUACCUGAAGAAUAAGCACCGGCUAACUACGUGCCAGCAGCCGCGGUAA
rnacentral:rRNA from 1 species